GGUUGAAGGCGAACAAUGCGGAGGGCUAUGGGAUAUUAAUGGCAAGUGUUCUACCGGUUUGGAAUGUGUGAACGAACCCCAGCCAGAGAACCAGGAAAUGCCUAUGUUCUUCAUGGACUCUGGAAUUUGCAGAAAGAUAGAGGUUGCUUCGUAAAUUGAAGAGGAGUACCGGUUAUGAGUUAAAUCGAAAAUAAAAAAUCUUCAAGUCUGGGAAGAAAGAAAAUACAAUCACCAAAAAGACAGUUACCGACCUCAAUCAACAAAGGCCGGACAUCAAGUAUUUUUUUAUGCGGCAUCCUUCUGUAGUGUAUUAUUCUAAAUGAUUUUAAAUAGAUUUGAUGUUAUUGAAUGCGAUGAUGAUCAUAAUAGAUAACUCGUUAUCGAGUAUCAGUAGAGAAAAGGACAACGAAGCCGAAUAUUGCGUCCAGAUACACAAAGACAGCGCGCGGUGCAAUGCUGUUUGAAAUCGAGAACAUAAAAUUAACAUCAUCAAAUUCAUACAUUAAAUGUUAUUAUUAUUUUUAUUGAUAUCUUUAUUGUAAUGUAUAAAUAUUUAUGUGUUUAAUAUAUGUAAAAAAAUAUUUGUGUUAAGUAUAGAUAUUCUAUAUGUAAGGUAGUUAACGCUUAGAAUAAGUUUGUUACACGUAGAAGAUAAGAUGAUACAUGUCUGUCUGCUUAUAUACAAUUGUUGUAAAUUAAAUUAAUGUUUAUAUUUCUGACGGAGAUAAAGGCAGUCCCACGGAAUAAUGUAAUAAAUUUGAUAUGACGUAUAACGAUAAUAAUUACUUAGAAAUUCUCUAGAUAUGAAUAUAACAAUAGGUGUUUUGUUAUAAGAUUACGUCGUUUUUGUUGAUUAAAAUGAUUUGUUGCAAUUAC